CAGUAGCCGCGGGAAUACGGAGGGCGCGAGCGUUACCCGGAUUUACUGGGCGUAAAGGGCGUGUAGGCGGCCUGGGGCGUCCCAUGUGAAAGGCCACGGCUCAACCGUGGAGGAGCGUGGGAUACGCUCAGGCUAGAGGGUGGGAGAGGGUGGUGGAAUUCCCGGAGUAGCGGUGAAAUGCGCAGAUACCGGGAGGAACGCCGAUGGCGAAGGCAGCCACCUGGUCCACUUCUGACGCUGAGGCGCGAAAGCGUGGGGAGCAAACCGGAUUAGAGACCCCUGUAGUCCUGUCUCUUAUACA
rnacentral:rRNA from 1 species